GAUGAACGCUGGCGGCGUGCCUAAUACAUGCAAGUCGAGCGAACGGACGAGAAGCUUGCUUCUCUGAUGUUAGCGGCGGACGGGUGUGUAACACGUGGAUAACCUACCUAUAAGACUGGGAUAACUUCGGGAAACCGGAGCUAAUACCGGAUAAUAUUUUGAACCGCAUGGUUCAAAAGUGAAAGACGGUCUUGCUGUCACUUAUAGAUGGAUCCGCGCUGCAUUAGCUAGUUGGUAAGGUAACGGCUUACCAAGGCAACGAUGCAUAGCCGACCUGAGAGGUUGAUCGGCCACACUGGAACUGAGACACGGUCCAGACUCCUACGGGAGGCAGCAGUAGGGAAUCUUCCGCAAUGGGCGAAAGCCUGACGGAGCAACGCCGCGUGAGUGAUGAAGGUCUUCGGAUCGUAAAACUCUGUUAUUAGGGAAGAACAUAUGUGUAAGUAACUGUGCACAUCUUGACGGUACCUAAUCAGAAAGCCACGGCUAACUACGUG
rnacentral:rRNA from 1 species